GACGAACGCUGGCGGCGUGCUUAACACAUGCAAGUCGAACGGAAAGGCCCUGCUUGCCGGGUACUCGAGUGGCGAACGGGUGAGUAACACGUGGGUGAUCUGCCCUGCACUUCGGGAUAAGCCUGGGAAACUGGGUCUAAUACCGGAUAGGAGCCAUUUCUCGUGUGUUGGUUGGGAAGUUUUUUCGGUGUAGGAUGAGCUCGCGGCCUAUCAGCUUGUUGGUGGGGUAAUGGCCUACAAAGGCGGCGACGGGUAGCCGGACUGAGAGGGUGGACGGCCACAUUGGGGCUGAGAGACGGCCCAGACUCCUACGGGAGGCAGCAGUGGGGAAUAUUGCACAAUGGGCGCAAGCCUGAUGCAGCGACGCCGCGUGGGGGAUGACGGCCUUCGGGUUGUAAACUCCUUUCGCUAGGAACGAAGCUUUUUGUGACGGUACCUAGAUAAGAAGCACCGGCUAACUACGUG
rnacentral:rRNA from 1 species